CAAAGCCUGAGGAUGGAAGAACCUCUCCUGAACAUGGUGUGAGCUCUGGCUGGAGACUUUUUUGCAAGUGCUUGUGCCUCCAGUUCCCAGCAGUGGCCAAGGUUGCACCACGGUCCUUCCUUCUGUGGAGCUAAGAGCACUGCAGUGGAGAUGAGUUCUGAAAUGUGUGGAUUUCUGCUGUUGGAUUGCCAUCGGCCAUGCUUGGCACAGGAGCUGAACGUCACAGCCUUCUGACAACUUUGCAGAGGGCUGCAACUCCUGUUGCCAUGGAAAUGGACCUGAGCUCACUGAAAGAUGGAACAGAAAGAAGGGCAAUGAACAUCUGCUCAGCCUGGUGUGAAUAGAAGCUCUCCAUCCACAAUUUAAAGGAUCACAGGACAUGGAUUGCAGUCUUUCUCACCAUCUGCAGGUCUGAGUGUGUGGCUCCUCAAGAUCUCUGCUCUCUGCAAGCCCAUGGGAAAACCCUGCAGCUCUCAGGACACGGUGCUGAGGUGUUCCCAGGAUCACACCAUAGUUCUGCAGCUUCCCCGAAAGGGAAGGGUUUUCCCUUCACCUCUGUGAUAAGCCACGGGGAUGCAGCGCUGCCCCAAAGCCUCCACACACUGGCAUCCCAAGACACCAGGUCUGUGUAUUAUGUCACGCUGGUGCUUUCCAUGAUUAAAUUCCCGGUUGGAGCUGGCACUGAGCCCUGCUCUAGCAAUAGACAGUGUGACCCUCCUCUGCUCCCAGCUUUUCUUCAGGCAUUCUCCUGUGCAAGCUCUCUGCACCACAACCUCUCUGUGCCGUGCAGCCAUACUGUGUUUUUUUCUCCUUUCCAGGAGACAACUCUCCUAAUGGCGUUGCCAGGAGGAACAGAUGUUCCCUCUUAGCAGCUCUAGUUGAUAUUCCAGAGGCAGUCACCUCCAGCAAAAGGUGAAAAUGACAACUGCAGGUAGUAAUUUCUUAAAUCCUCUACUCUAAAACUUUGCACUAAAUCAGAUAAUUGUUACAUACUGGCACCUAACUGCAGCACUACAAAAGUAGGUUUUCCCUUUCCUAUAAACAGUAUAAAAGACAAAUAUAGGUGCUAUUUUUUCUUAUGAAACACACACACUCAUCUUGCUAUUGGCAAUUCCAUGCACACACAAAAUAGUGGAUGUCUGAAAUUAAAAUCAGGAUUGCUUUAUCCUAGCCAAGGGAUCUGUAACCUCAUUUUGUAACUGCCUUUCAAAAUCCAGCAAGUGUACUUCAGUCAGAAGGGAAAGGUGACUGUCAUCUAUGCAGAUGUGGAGACAAAAGUGUCAGUAUAGUUUAUGAUUGAACCUAAAACAAAUCUUCUCCGUGGCUCAUAUUUUUUCUUUUGCAACUUUUAUCAGUUGAUUUUAGUACGGCAACAAACCUUUUCCACCAUGCUUUCUGAUACUAUUUAUUUGAAAAAAGGUGGGUUGUGUUGUGGGUUUGUUGGUUGGUGGGUUUUUUGUGUUGUUGUGUUGUUGGGGUUUGUUUGUUUGUUUGUUUUUCCCUGUGUCUUCCUUUCCACCCCAGCUGUUUAAAAAGCUUCAUUUGGUUAUUUUGGCUUCAUUUCAAAAGGGCACUCUUUCACUUCUAAAUCCAAGUGUACAGUGUAGAAUACCAGUUUUCAUUUUAAAGGGACCUGAUAUAAUAAUAAUCUAGGUGCCCUAGUAGCACGUCACAGCCUAGACAGGGACUGAAGAGUUGCCUAACACAAUUUUUACUGUGCCCACAGCAGACAACAUAAGAUCUUGUUUCUAUGAAUGUUCAAAGAAAUAACCCAAGUUUACAGAGUGGGACAUUCAGGUGUUUGUUGGAAUACAGCCCCUGAUAACAAUUUUACAAAACUCAUUUCACUUAAGGACAUUUUAAAAGAUCCAUUUGUUGGCCUUAAUCCAUUUUUAAAGCAGCUCACUUUAUUUCUUCCAAUAACAGAAAAUCUUUCUUAAACUAUUACUCUAGAGACCAGUAAGAACCAGUUACUCAUCGUUGCCUUUCCUGUUCUGGACAGAGAGCUAUUAUGCUAGCUGUAUUUGUCAUGUUUAAACUGUGUACAAGUGCACGAGCUGUUUAUUUGUGCAGGUUUCAGAUCAAGAACUAAGGAGAAAACAGACUGCACUACCAAGAUUUUCUUAUUCUCUUCAAAUAUUUAAAUUUUAUAAUAUUUUUACAAUAUUUUCUUAUUUUUUAGUUUUGUCUUUGCUUUUCUGUUGCAGGCGCAGUGUGCAGGAGGCAUGCCAGCUCUCUGCAGAGACAGCUUGUCCUGGCAGGGCUGAGAUACAGUUCCCCUCCAUAUUGUUGCCCUUAAAAUUUAUUUUAAACAGUAACUAUUUCAUUUUUAAGAUAUUAAAUUGAAUAUUGCAUCUUUGCAAAAUA